rnacentral:rRNA from 1 species
UGCAGUCGAACGGUGAAGCAGGAGCUUGCUCUUGUGGAUCAGUGGCGAACGGGUGAGUAACACGUGAGCAACCUGCCCCUGACUCUGGGAUAAGCGCUGGAAACGGCGUCUAAUACUGGAUAUGUGACGUGACCGCAUGGUCUGCGUUUGGAAAGAUUUUUCGGUUGGGGAUGGGCUCGCGGCCUAUCAGCUUGUUGGUGAGGUAAUGGCUCACCAAGGCGUCGACGGGUAGCCGGCCUGAGAGGGUGACCGGCCACACUGGGACUGAGACACGGCCCAGACUCCUACGGGAGGCAGCAGUGGGGAAUAUUGCACAAUGGGCGAAAGCCUGAUGCAGCAACGCCGCGUGAGGGAUGACGGCCUUCGGGUUGUAAACCUCUUUUAGCAGGGAAGAAGCGAAAGUGACGGUACCUGCAGAAAAAGCGCCGGCUAACUACGUGCCAGCAGCCGCGGUAAUACGUAGGGCGCAAGCGUUAUCCGGAAUUAUUGGGCGUAAAGAGCUCGUAGGCGGUUUGUCGCGUCUGCUGUGAAAUCCCGAGGCUCAACCUCGGGCCUGCAGUGGGUACGGGCAGACUAGAGUGCGGUAGGGGAGAUUGGAAUUCCUGGUGUAGCGGUGGAAUGCGCAGAUAUCAGGAGGAACACCGAUGGCGAAGGCAGAUCUCUGGGCCGUAACUGACGCUGAGGAGCGAAAGGGUGGGGAGCAAACAGGCUUAGAUACCCUGGUAGUCCACCCCGUAAACGUUGGGAACUAGUUGUGGGGUCCAUUCCACGGAUUCCGUGACGCAGCUAACGCAUUAAGUUCCCCGCCCUGGGGGAGUACGGGCCGCAAGGCUAAAACUCAAAGGAAUUGACGGGGACCCGC